AACGAACGCUGGCGGCAUGCCUAACACAUGCAAGUCGAACGAGACCUUCGGGUCUAGUGGCGCACGGGUGCGUAACGCGUGGGAACCUGCCCUUAGGUUCGGAAUAACUCCCCGAAAGGGGUGCUAAUACCGGAUAAUGUCUUCGGACCAAAGAUUCAUCGCCUUUGGAUGGGCCCGCGUUGGAUUAGCUAGUUGGUAGGGUAAAAGCCUACCAAGGCGACGAUCCAUAGCUGGUCUGAGAGGAUGAUCAGCCACACUGGGACUGAGACGCGGCCCAGACUCCUACGGGAGGCAGCAGUGGGGAAUAUUGGACAAUGGGCGAAAGCCUGAUCGAGCUAUGCCGCGUGAGUGAUGAAGGCCUUAGGGUUGUAAAGCUCUUUUACCCGGGAUGAUAAUGACAGUACCGGGAGAAUAAGCUCCGGCUAACUCCGUG
rnacentral:rRNA from 1 species